CAGCAGGACGCCCCGGCCCCCGGGAGCUGCCGGGGGCUGCUGCCAGCGGAUCUAACGCCGUGCCCUGUCCCCCUGUCCCCAGCUGCGCCCCCUGUUCCUCCUGGCCCUGGCAGAUUUCCUGGGUGCCGCGGCGCUGCUGGGCACGGGAACCGUCCCGCUGCUGCCGGCCUCCCUCUCCGUGCCCGCCUACGCCGCCUGUCCCUACGGGCGGAUGCUGACCACGACCUCCUACGCCGUCUCGUUCCUCAUGGUCGCUGUUUACGCGUACGAGUCGCACCGCACCGUCCUCGGGGGGCGAGCGCGGCCCCCGGCAGCGCUGCAGGAGCGGAGCCGCUGCCUGGAGAGCGCCUGGCGGGGAAUUCCGUACGUCCUGGCCUGGCUGGUACCGGCGCUGACUCUCCUGGCUCAGCUGCUCUCCCGCGGCACCUCCGCCGCCGCCAUCGCGCCCGUGGUGCCCCGGGAGGCUCUGGGAGCUCCAGCACCGCUCUGUCCUUGCAGCUGCCUCCUCCUGAUCCGCCCGAGCCAGGACAUUUGCUCCCAGGUGGGCGCUGCUCCCGGGGGGCUCCGGGGCCGCGGGGGUCGCUGGCCCGGCCCCGCUCAUCUCCCGUUGUCUCCCAGUCCGGCGGGGGCAGGAACGCGGGGCUGGAGGAGAAAAUCAUCCUCCUGCUGUACCUGCUGCUGGUGCUCGGCUGCUGCUCGCUCCUGUACCGGCGGGUGCGGCUCCGGUGCCGGCGGAACGCGGCGCUGCCGCUGCUGAGCCUGGACAGGGACGGCGGCCUCGGGGGCAGGAGCGGCCGCAGCGUCAGCAAAGCCUCGCUGCACUUCCAGCUGGUUUUCCUGCUCUGCUGGACGCCAGCCUUCCUCCUCACCAUCCUCUCCUUCACCAGCAUCAGCCCUGCCUCGCUCUUUGUCCUCUACGUGUCCACGGUGAGUAAAGCCCCUUUUCAGGGCUCCCAGGUUGGACAUUUGUCCCCAUCCCACGUGGGAGCUGUGACAGCCCUUGGGCACACCCUGGGCAGGGUGAGGACACGGCCCUGGGCCCAGCGCGGCUCUUCCCACUGGAUUUUGGGUUGGGAUUUCAGCCCUUGGCUCUUCCCAGGGCCUGGAUGUGCUUUAAUUGGCCACACCAAGAGGAAUGUCCCCCCGUGUCCCGUGCCAGCCCGCUGGGCUGUGCCUGCUGGCACCGGGAGCCCUGACCCUCCGUCCCUGUGUCCCCCAGGCCCUGAGCGUGUCCCUGCAGGGCUUCCUGCACAGUCUGGUCUACGGCUGGAUGAGGGAGAACUUCCGCAGGGACGUGCUGGCCCCGAGCCCCUCCCUGCAGAGCCCGGAGGGGCUCAAGGCUUUCUACGACGAUUCCCUGGGGGCUGCUCCCUGAGCUCCCCCCUCAUCCCAUUCCCUGGGGGCUGCUCCCACCUCAUCCCAUUGCCUGGGGGCUGCUCCCUGAGCUCCCCCCUCAUCCCAUUCCCUGGGGGCUGCUCCCUGAGCUCCCACCCCAUCCCAUUCCCUGGGGGCUGCUCCCACCUCAUCCCAUUCCCUGGGGGCUGCUCCCUGAGCUCCCACCCCAUCCCAUUCCCCGGGGGCUGAUCCCUGAGCUCCCACCUCAUCCCCAUCCCAUUCCCUGGGGGCUGCUCCCACCUCAUCCCAUUCCCUGGGGGCUGCGGGAUUUGCACAUUCCCAGCAGCUCAGGGAAUCCCGGAAUGGUUUGGGCGGACAGGGACCCCAGAGCCCCCCCAGUGCCACCCUGCCAUGGCAGGGACCCCUCCCACGGCUCCCGCUGUCCCGGCAGGAUCCCCUGGGUGCAGCCCCUUGUGCCUGGAGUGGUUUGGGGAGGGCACAGGAGGGGCACCUGCAGCCCCUCCCUGCUGGAGACCCCCGAACUUCCACAGAUCCACCGGGAUGGUCUGCAGGAUCCUGGAACCUGAGGCUGGGCUGGCACUGGAGGGGCUUUGGGGUCCCUUCCCACCCAAACCAUUCCAGGACAGUGGGAUACUGGGCUUGCAGGAGAUGGGGUCUGGCCUCCUUGGGGGGAAUGCAAAGCUAAAAAUACAUCCCUGAGGGAGAAUUCCCGAAGGAGGAAGUUCGGGCUGUUGAGGAACAAGAGAUGGUGGAGUCCCCACUCCAGGAGGGAUCUCAAAGCCAUGUGGAUGUGGCACUUGGGGACACGGUCAGUGGUGGCCUUGGCACUGCUGGGAAUGGUUGGACUCGAUGGGCUUCAAGGUUUUUCCAAACCAAAAGCCUCAGUGAUUCUGUGAUUCUGUGAUUCCGUGCCUCGGGAAGGGCAGAGGGACACACAGCCACCCACAGGUGCUCUGGAAAACCGGGAUGGCCACGAGUGACCAAGAGCAGGGACAACCAUUCCCAACCCAAUAAACCUCCCCAGCCUCCGAGCCAGGACCCAGCGUGGCUCCAGG
rnacentral:lncRNA from 1 species